AAGUCAAAGAAUGUGUAAAAACCCUACUGGUUGUGACCUAGAUGGUAAGGAAGCAAAGGACUGGCACUUGAGGAUAUGUUGACACUGAUUUAUCACUCUGCAGAUGAUGGCCAAUCUUCUCAAAAGUUACUAAUGACAUUGUGUGCCUCUGUUUCUAGCAACUCAUGAUCCAGGCUUGCAGAGCGCUCUGUGCCUGGGGUUUGCUAAAGAGCCGCAGAUGUGCAGGUGUCCCUCCCACAGCCAUUGCUUGUCUAUGGGCAGCCUCAGUCCCCAGAGAGGAGGGAUGACGGACCUCCUCAGCAGCUGAGGGUGGUUUAAUCCUUCCUGAGAUUGCUCACUAAGCAGCUGCUGGCCUGAAUCUCUGCUGCUGGUCACACACAGGUAGAGGCCUGGCAUGGCAUAGGAAUUUUUACAUUUCUUAAUACCUUUCUGCAUGACCCUCAGAUUACCGAGGGGCACACGAAACCAUUACCAAUAACAUUAAUAACAACGGGAGCAGCCAUCCCCCAGCAAACUGCAGCAUUGCCCAGGUAUUUCUGCAGAAAGCUGUUUCCAGCUGCAGGGGCGAGGGUAGCCACAGCCCCCCCCAAACACGCACACGCUGCCCCUUGCUGCCUGUGCCAUGUGCCUUUCCAGGUCUGCCAGCAGGCCCUGCUCAUGCUGGAUGGCCAAAAUGUGGAAGAUUUAGCUCUCCCCUUCCAGAAAGUGCGGGCUAGCCAGCAAGCGUGCGUAAACACCUCUCAGAAAACCCACCCCCUGGAAGUGCUCCAUCUUGCCGUGAUCAAUGAGCUGCAAUGUGGUCAAAAGGGAAUGCUAUUGGAAAACAGACACCCACUGGGACAGCAGUCACUUCUUCAGCAGGCAGGAGAUGCGUGCUCAAGAGCAUCCCUGGGCCAUCCCCAUCACAGCACUGACUUCCCUGCAGUUUGCACAUCGCCCCUUCCUGGGAAAUGUGCUGUGCCAAAGCUUGUCCUGCUCGUUGCCUCAGCGCUCACCAGCCUCUCUUGACACCUCUCAGCCUUUAGGAUGUGGUGCAGCUUUCCUGAGAGAAAAUGAAACUCUUACUAUUUACCUAUUUUGAUGCCUUCCUUCCUGAAGACCUGCUUCUGUCACGUUGCCUCCAGGAAAUCCAA
rnacentral:lncRNA from 1 species